CGUGUGUGAAGAAGGCCUUCGGGUUGUAAAGCACUUUUGUCCGGGAAGAAAUCUUCCAGGUUAAUACCCUGGGAGGCUGACGGUACCGGAAGAAUAAGCACCGGCUAACUUCGUG
rnacentral:rRNA from 1 species